rnacentral:lncRNA from 1 species
UGGGGACCGAAGGCACUGUGCCGCUCCGUUCAGGUAUUACACACUGAGAAAUGUCUGCGUUAGUUCUCCGUAGCUCCCUGCAAAGUCAGCCAGUGCAGAUGAGAGGAGAGAAGCCCUGCCAUGGCACAGCCAUCUCUACGAGGUUUUAGCCGAAGCCUGGCGUGAUCGCAGCAUCUAGGGACCUGUGGUUACCAAUCAAUUGGUACAAUAGAGCAGAGCCAGACUGCAAUAGCGUGCAGAUCAGACGUCUCGCCUUGUUUCUAGAUAACUGGGAGCCUCUGUACCAUGUCAUAUCCUCAGUUUGGCUACCCUUACUCCUCUGCACCCCAGUUCCUGAUGAGUACCAACUCCCUGACGACCUGCUGCGAGUCCAGCGGCCG